rnacentral:rRNA from 1 species
UACGUAGGAUGCAAGCGUUGUCCGGAUUUACUGGGCGUAAAGCGUGCGCAGGUGGCCGCGCAAGUCGAGUGUGAAAUCCCCGAGCUUAACUUGGGAAUUGCGCUCGAAACUACGUGGCUCGAGUGUGGCAGAGGAAGGUGGAAUUCCACGUGUAGCGGUGAAAUGCGUAGAGAUGUGGAGGAACACCGGUGGCGAAGGCGCUCCGCUAGGCCGCAACUGACACUGAGGGACGAAAGCUAGGGGAGCGAAUGGG